AUUGAACGCUGGCGGCAGGCCUAACACAUGCGAGUCGAGCGGAUGAAGGGAGCUUGCUCCUGGAUUCAGCGGCGGACGGGUGAGUAAUGCCUAGGAAUCUGCCUGGUAGUGGGGGAUAACGUCCGGAAACGGGCGCUAAUACCGCAUACGUCCUGAGGGAGAAAGUGGGGGAUCUUCGGACCUCACGCUAUCAGAUGAGCCUAGGUCGGAUUAGCUAGUUGGUGGGGUAAAGGCCUACCAAGGCGACGAUCCGUAACUGGUCUGAGAGGAUGAUCAGUUACACUGGAACUGAGACACGGUCCAGACUCCUACGGGAGGCAGCAGUGGGGAAUAUUGGACAAUGGGCGAAAGCCUGAUCCAGCCAUGCCGCGUGUGUGAAGAAGGUCUUCGGAUUGUAAAGCACUUUAAGUUGGGAGGAAGGGCAGUAAGUUAAUACCUUGCUGUUUUGACGUUACCAACAGAAUAAGCACCGGCUAACUUCGUG
rnacentral:rRNA from 1 species